rnacentral:rRNA from 1 species
UAGAGUUUGAUCAUGGCUCAGGAUGAACGCUGGCGGCGUGCCUAACACAUGCAAGUCGAACGGAGUCAUUUUGAAGUAGCAAUACGGAAGAAUGACUUAGUGGCGCACGGGUGAGUAACACGUAGGUAACCUGCCCUUAAGAGGGGGAAAACCCGCCGAAAGGCGAGCUAAUACCGCAUAAGACCACGAACUGAGAUGUUUGUGGUAAAAGGAGCAAUCCACUUAAGGAUGGGCCUGCGGCCUAUCAGGUAGUUGGUGAGGUAACGGCUCACCAAGCCUAAGACGGGUAGCCGGUCUGAGAGGACGGACGGCCACACUGGAACUGAGACACGGUCCAGACUCCUACGGGAGGCAGCAGUGGGGAAUUUUGCACAAUGGGCGAAAGCCUGAUGCAGCGACGCCGCGUGGAGGAUGAAGGUUUUCGGAUUGUAAACUCCUUUUGUAGGGGAAAAUAAUGAUGGUACCCUGCGAAUAAGCCACGGCUAACUCUGUGCCAGCCGCCGCGGUAAUUC